rnacentral:sRNA from 1 species
AAUCAAAGGAGCUGUACGCGAGCAGGCCAUCCUGCUCCGUACAGCUCCUUUUUUUCCUGCCGGAAAAAACCGGCGGGAAGAAAAAAAGACC